UUUAUAGUGUACUACUGGAAAUUGUACGAGCAAUUUUGUUUCGUUAAAAAGAUGUAAAAGUAGCUUUAUAAAACUAUUAACCUAUUUAACUAUUUAUCUGAUGUGGACAUCGCAAUUUGAUACAUAAUGCGAUAUUUUAUUGUGUUAAGUUUAAGCAUACUGGAAAUUAUUGUAUAUAUAAAUACAUUGUCAGCGAAUAAUGAAUUGCUUGAUAAACGGCUGCUGUACUAUGAACCGUUACAUUACGAUAUAGACGACCUUCACCUUAGACACACUCAAGUCGGCAAAUCAGGAGACUUACUUCGGGUCAACUUUUAUGCUUUCAAUAAAAAUUUCUCACUCGAAUUGAGAAGGAAGGACAAAUCAUCAUCAAACAUCAUACUUCAUCAUAAAAAGGAAAUCACCACACCAGAUCUUUCAUUUGUUUACACGGGAAAAGAUACAGAACAUUCCGAUAGUGAAGCAAGUUUGGCUGUGAUCAAUGGAACGUUGCAGGGUAAAAUAGUUCUCCCUGGUGAUACAAUUUAUCAUGUAGUUCCUAGUUCGUGGUUGUUCAAAUCAGUGCCAUACUUUCAUACUGUGAUAUAUUCAGAAAAAGAUUAUAUAUGGAAUCAUACUUACCAUUCGGAUACAUCAAUUCCUUUUGGAGGUAUAAGUCAGAGUCAGGACAUGUAUAAAAAGCCAAGAGGCCGGCGGAAAAGAGAUUUAAUUCCACCAUCACAAGGACAAGACCAUCAUGUAUGUACAGUCAAGCUGACAACUGACAACACUGUCUGGAAAUAUUUCAUGAGUUUAGAUCAGAGCGAGGACCGGAGUCGUUACGACAUAUUGUACAUGUUGGAAAAUCACGUGACGGAAGCAAAUAAAAUCUUCAAAAAUACAGAAUUUACCUUAAAUAAAGGUAAAAAGACGGAAGAAAAAUUGAAAGGCAUACAAUUCGAGAUAAGGAAAAUAAAGAUUAUGACAGAUAUCGAUUGUGAAGACGAGGGUAAAUCAGUGCUAUGCAAUGAAGAUCUUGACGGUCAAUCACUACUUGACCAAUUUUCUUUCGAAGACCACAUUGUCUAUUAUGACAAUGUUCCUGAAGCUGAUUAUAUUGGUGGAGAUGACUAUACAUACAGCUAUGAUUAUCCUGAAGAAGAAGUCGAAUAUUGUUUGUCAUUUCUCAUCACUGCAAGAGUUUUGUAUGUCAACAAAGAAAGUCCACUUCUCGGCAAGGCUUUCUCGGCGCUUCUUGAUGGUGGGAUUUGUUCGAAUCAAAACAAUGGAUUCAUCACAAUAUUUCUAGAAAGUACACAAGCUUUGCCAGCACUUGUUACGCAGCUAGUGUUUACACACGAGGUUGCGCAUGGAUUCGGCGCAUAUCACGAUGAUAUGAAGCAAUGUUCAGAAUACAACUUAAAAGAAGAGCCAGCAGACGGAUAUUAUCUGAUGCAUAAAAUUGUUCAACGUGGAGACAAGCCCAAUCAUUAUAAACUAUCACAAUGUAGUCUCAAAUACAUCUCCGAAGCACUGUCUCAGGAUAAAUCUCGCAUAUGCUUUACAGAUAGCGAGUUACCAUAUUGUGGUAAUGGUAUAGUUGACGACGGGGAAGAGUGUGACUGUGGAAACGAUUGUGACACUGAUUUAGAUAAUUGUUGUCAUUCCAACAAUGCAACUGGCGGUUUGAGAUGUACCCUCAAAGAUGGGGCGAAAUGCAGCCCAAGCCAAGGACCAUGUUGUGACAGCAAUGUUUGUCAAUUUAUAAAUCGUACACAGAACUUCGUAUGCCAGAACCCAAAACCAUGUGUUGACAAAUUAUUCUGCCAAUAUCCUUUCAAUUCUAAAAUAUAUUUACAAGUCAUCUGAGCAGAACAGAUAUACGUACAAAGUUUAUCAUAUAAGUACAUCAAAGUACAUUUUACUUGGUAAAAUAAUCAUAAAAGUUUAGUUACCAUAGUCUGAUAGUCUUAAUGUAGGUACAAUAAUCACAAUUUAGUUACAAUGGUCAUAAUGUUUUGCUUGCUUGAAUGGCGAUUUAAAUCUGUCAUUAUUUCUAAAGAAAAGACUCUGUCAUUAUAUCUAAAGAAAAGACUCGAUCAAACCAUGUAUGCAAUGGAUUUUCUUGUAGCAUAAUAUUGAUAUAUUUGCCAAGAAAAGUAUUGCGAGAAUACAUUUUUGAUAAAAGCUAAAUAACUCGUAGGAGUUUUUAUUUUAAAAAACUUAAUUAUUAGUUAGUGGCUUGACUGGUUGUUAGUGGGAAAAUAUUUGGUGCACCAUAUAGUUUAGUUCCUUAACUUAUAGUCACUGGGGAAAUCCAUGGAGCACAAUGUCCCCCACCAAACAAACAUCAACAACGAGAGGACGGCUUCAUCUGUAGCAGUAAUGGACGUGUUUGUGAUGCCGGGAAUUGCAAUGCAUCUAUAUGUAAAUUAAUACAAUGGCGAGAAUGUCAGAUGUCCAAUGAUAAUGACAAAUUAACAAUACAAGAAAAAGAAGAUUUAUGUUAUAUUGGAUGUCGAAGAAAGAAAUCGCAUGAGUGCAUCAGUUCACAUGAUAGGUCGAAAGUUAAACAACACCUAGAGUUUAUGAAUUUGUUGUCUAACAUAUCCUCUGACAAUACUAUACUUCCUGUACAG